rnacentral:lncRNA from 1 species
GCAACUGCUAACAGCGAGGAGGGGUUUUGAAAGGUAAAGGCCAUUAGCUUGGAGGCAGAAGACAGACCUCCCUGACUGCUGAAUUCCUGCCGGCCUGAAAUUGGAGCAUUCCAAGCUCCUCAGAUGAGUCAUAAGCCACCAAGAUUGUGAGCCUCUGGGUUGCCCCCAAGGCAUUUGGGGGAGGCAGAUGCAACUCCAAG